rnacentral:lncRNA from 1 species
UUUUUAACUUUUAUUUUGCUUACCGAAGACUUUGCAAAAGAGUUUCGGUACUCAUUUUUUACUUUUAUUUUGUGUAUCGGAAGAAUUUGCAAAAGAGUUCUCGUAGUCAGUUUUUUAAAAUAUUUUUUUACUUUUAUUUUGUGUACCGGAAAAUUUUGCAAAAAAGUUACGACAAUUAUUGUUUUUUACAUUUUUUAACUUUUAUUUUGUGUUCCGGAAGAUUUUGCAAGAGAGUUCCGG